AUCAACUGGAAAGGCCAGACCCUAGGGAUGGUUGUGUAAGCAUCAAAUAAAAUUCUAGAAAAAUUGCCCGAUAGGGUGUUUGUAGGGGAUGGGGCUAACAAUGAGAAUAGCUGUUGAGGGACGUGGGCCCCAUUACCUCAGAUGUGGCGAAAAGGGCCACAUUUACUCGAAGUGUGAGAAAAAAAAAAAUCAAUGAAACCCCUCCCCAAAAGGCUACGAAAGUGGUCAAAGGAAAAAGUGAAAAGCAAGACAAUGCAGCACAAACAAGAGAGGGUGUAACCGUAGAGAGUGCAAAAGAAAAAAACCAGAAAAAUGACUAAAUGGAAUUUACUACAGUGUCACACAAAAGAAACAAAGUCCAAGUCCGAGACUCACCUCGCCAAACAAAAAUAUCCAUAAAACACACAGCAACACACAAAACAAAAUUCCCCAAACCAACCCCACAGUGAAACCUUUCACCAAACUCCUCCCCAAAACCCAAGAAAAAAUUGUUUCCCUCUUCGAAAAGAACACUGUGUACAACACAGUCAUAAGGGUGCAUCAUAAGGCACGAGUUUUUAAAAUAACAAAAGACACGCCCCCGAACAUUAGACUUGCUAAAAUGGACACAGGCCUAUUUUUGGAGUUGAAGGAAAGGUAUCCAGAAGAUAUCAAGGACGUCAGCUCUGAAAUGGCAGAGAAAAAAUUACUAAUAAGCUCAGCGGCUACACCAAUGAAAGAAAAGGAUGGGGAGGUAGCCAAAUUUGUGCAGCCCCUCCCCAAACUCCUACUGUAAGUUCUUCUUUUUUCCAUUUUUUACCAUGAUGAUUAAGUUAGGGAGUAUGAACUGGGGUCAAAAUGGAAACAAGCUUGUCUCCUGGAUGACAUCAGGUCACAAGAUAUAGAUAUGUGCAUUGUAACUGAGUCUAAGAUGAACGGACCAAAAGCAUUCUCACCUCUUCUAAAUGGCUAUGAGAAAUUUAUUUCUCCUAGCUGACGAGGAGGAGGGGGCAUGGUGGUCUUAUUCAGGAAGAACUUGGAUGUACAGGUAAGUACAGUCUUACCUGGAUGUGGUCAUCCUGGAUUUGUCUCAUGCUAGUAAACAGUCCUUCAGGUUGGUAGCUGUCUGUGCUCCCAAUGAGAGUAGACAGACUGGUUUUUUUCAAGACUUGGAGCACUUUUUAGUGACAAGAAAAAUGAUAGUUUUAUUAGGAGACUUUAACACUAUUCUCGAUGCAUGGGUGGAUAGUGUUGGCUUGACCAAUAGGAAGGGAAAUCCUAGAAUCAAGAGUCUGCUAGAGAGCUAUAAUCUAGUAGACCGUUACAGACUGGAUGAGCUGCUCAUCCCACAGUGGACGUGGAGUAAUAACGACAGCGCACGCAGAUCUUAUGUGGAUAGAGUAUUUGUUAGAAAUAGAGAUAGGGAUACGUUUAGUUGUCCACACUUUUGUUGUGUCCCUUACACAGAUUUCAAAUUUGUGAUGUGUGAGGUGUUGGAAGUUUCUGGUGGAGAAGAGAGGUUUCUGGUAUAGGUGGUGGGAGCAGGAAUAGGUGAGUACAUUGCGAGCAAGUGAAGCCACAUGGCAACAUGAGAAAGGAUCAAACAACUUCACAAGAAAGACAAAAUAUAUAGAUUUUCAACCAGCCAAAAAACAACCUAUCAUCAUCAUUAUCAUCAUCAUCGUUUAACGUCCGCAUGGAACAAAAUAAAAUUGUCCUGAAAAGAACAGAUUGAUGAGAUGAAAUAUGCACAUUUUCAGAACAGAGGCAGUAAUUAAUGAAAGCAGGGAUAUGAGAUAUAAAUAUUUUCAUGGACAGAGACAGUAUUGUUGAAAAGGGGAAAACAAAAUAUGAGGCAAACUUGAAUUAAUUAUAUUAAAUUAAAUUAAGACAGGUUAGUUCAAACAGGGUAGAAAUACAAGUUGUGAAUGAAUAGAAUGAUGCAAACAUUAAGGAAAAAAAUCAACUUAUCUGAUCAUUGCUGUUUGUCUAGCAUGGUGGUAUGUUAUAGCCAGGACUUUUGUGUUUGAGAAACUGUGCAAAAGACCAAGGUACUUUUAUAGAAAUGACAGGAAGAAGAAAAGGUGGCCAUGGUAGUAUUGCGAGCAAGUGGCACACACACACACAUACAUGUUGUUAGGAAGGGUAUGACAUCAGGAAGGUCAUCCAGCUGUAGAAACCAUGUGAAAGCAGACAUUGGAGCAUGAAGCAGUCUUUGGACUUGUGAGAUCAUAUCUAAAAGCACCAACAAUGGUUCUGGGUAAACUAUGUUUUGCAUGUCUCCAGUGUUGGUAGAAUAAAUAUACAUGAGUGAGACCCUUCUUUGCCAUGUUGUCAUAUAUUGCAAGUAUGCAAAACUUCCUUUGCUGGGAAAAUUGGAAGAAUGACACAAUACGCAUGCUCUCUUUAUUUCCAAUGAAACAGACCCCUGUUUUUAGAAACAAGAGUGAUCCCUAGCGAGAAGAUCACAAUCAAAUUGAAGUUUGGAUUGUACACUUCGUGGGCAAGUUUUUGAGUUUUAAUACUUUAUCCACAAUAAUUUAAAGGUAUGUUACAAAUAACCUAUUUUCACAACAUAAUUCUCUGUUAGUAAAUGAUUUUCUCACAACAAUUUAAAGGUAUGUUAGAGAUGAUUUAUUUUAAUAACAUAAUUUUCUAUUAGUAAAUGAUUUUCUCUUAUGCAAACACUUAACAAUUUUGACUUUGAAGUAUCUAAAAAAUUAUUUGGAAAUUAUAAUGAGAAAUGAAUGGCAGAAUUAGACUGCUUGUAUUUUAAAACCCAAAAUGAAGAAAAAACAUCAAAAAACAGUGGAAAGUUUUGGAAUUAGAUGGUAGUGGAGUGUGUGUGUGUAUGUUUCGAUACAUGUACCCUUAAUGUAGAUCUCAGGGAGAUUCAGCAUGACACAGACUGUGACAAGGCUGUCCCUUUCAAAAUACAGGUGCUACCCAUUUUUGCCAGCUGAGUGGACUGAAGUAACUAAAUAAGGUGUCUAUCUCAAGGACACAACACAUCAUCGGGGAUUGAACUCAUGAUCUUAUGAUUGUGAGCCAAAUACCCUAACCACUAAGCCAUGUGCCUUCACUCCAUUAUUAUAUAUAUGUGAUAUAACACUUUAUAUUUAUUUAUUCCAAAACUGGGUGUGUUGGUACUGUAGUAAGUUUUAAUACAAUGCUUUUAAAGUAAUAUUUGUUGACUUUUAGUAGAUGAGAAGGUAGAACAUUGUUGUUGGGGUCUUUAGGUUUGCAAUAUUAAUCAUUAUCAUCUAUUGUUUAUUAUGCAGAUGGCACUUCUGAGUAAUUUUUAAUCUCAAUGAUGUAUUUAUAAAUACCCUAUUUUCGUAUCUAUUCAUAGAGUGUAAUUACUUAGAGGUUCUCCCAUCACUAGUUGAUGGCUGUUAUGAAGAGGUCUUAAUAAGCAUAAAACAUGUCUUGAGUUGUUUCCCAUACUUGCUAAAAUGAUCAAAAUACAAUUCACUGAAAGUUUUAACAUUUUCAAAAUUCUCUAAUUGACAGCAGUAUGGAGAAAUAAAUAACUAAAUAUAAAAUACACACACACAUGUACAUGCACAUACAAAUAGAUACAAACACACACACACACACACGCACACACACGCACACACACACCACACACACACACACACUCAUAAAUACACACGCAAUCCCUCUCUCUUUCCUUCUCUCUCUCUCAAGUAUGUAACUACUUGUGAACAGUUAUGCAAGGAAAACAAAAAGUUAACUGUUUCAUAUACAAAACAAGUGAUAAAAUAUUGUAAAAAUGUCUGAUUAUUUGUUUUAGUUUUGUUCAUAUUAAACACUUUGAUCAAUUUUGAACAAGUUUUCAUUGCAUUUAGCACACAUAUAAUGCUACUUAUAAUUAUGGAUGUAAUUAUUAUUGUAAUUGCUGAUACAUUAUUGUCACUGUGUCACUAAAGAUGUUAAUGAUAUAAAUUAUGAAAUAUUUCACAGCAGUUUCAUUAAGUUAUGGAUUCAACUCAUCUAUGUUCUAAAAAUAUAACUAGUGUAACGUCAGCACCAUUGAUUUGUGUGUGAGUGUAAGAGAGUUAACAAUGGAAGUUAAAGGAGUAUUAGCACAACACUGUAUUGUUUAUAUUUUGUCAUUAAUAAUGAUAAAAAACUAUUUAGCUAGCUGUCCUGGUUUAAUACACCUAGCUAUAAAAUAGGAAGGUUUACGAAAAUAAACAAAAGACGAAGGCAGGUGGAGUACAAACAAACAAAUGUUGUGAAAAUAGAUUAUUUGUAUAGCGCUCAGGAAUAGAAAUAGAAAAAGUCUUUUACGUUUCGAGCCUAUGCUCUUCGACAGAAAGAUACACAGAAAAAAACAAGGAGAAAAACAAGGAGAGAAAAAAAAGGAGAGAAAAAAAGGAGAGAAAAAAAAUGGAGAGAAAAAAACAAGGAGAAAAAAAAAUAGGUCCUGUAGUGUAAACCUAACUGAGGUUUGAACCUUAGCACUCAGAUUUUCCCCACUCUGAAAUCAUGACCUAAUAUAUUUCCUAAUAUAAAGGGUAAGGAGUUGCCAUUAGAGGUAGUAAUGCUUAUGUGAAUAUGCAUUGGCAGACUUAUUUAUGGCUGAGCUGGCAACUUUACGGGAAGUCUCCAAGUUUUCCUGCCAAGUGGAUUCUAGAACCUUCUGAGCCAACAGUUAUUUAAAAGCUAGCUUAUUUCAAGAUUGGUAUGGGUCAGUCAUUUUUUUCUCUGCAUGUAACCUCCCAACUUGUUAAACUUUUUUAUUUACAGCCCUCAGUAGUAGUGUCAAUUGACAAAUAUUCAUGACAUACAUGAUUCAUUAUCCCUUGUGCUACUGUCACAAAAUUAAUUUAUUGGGUGCACAUAUAUGUAAACUCAGCAAAGCAGGUAAAUAAAGUAUUUGGAAAUUCAGACAAAUUUUUGUAUUGUUUAUUUUCAAAACACACAACUUACUUGACAAUGAGAACAGCUGAAAAAGAAAUUAGGGCAAUGAACCAUACUGUAUGGUACAUGGGUAUCACACAGAGGCACAAUAU
rnacentral:lncRNA from 1 species